rnacentral:rRNA from 1 species
GACGAACGCGGCGGCGUGCCUAAUACAUGCAAGUCGAACGCUUCUUUCCUCCCGAGUGCUUGCACUCAAUUGGAAAGAGGAGUGGCGGACGGGUGAGUAACACGUGGGUAACCUACCCAUCAGAGGGGGAUAACACUUGGAAACAGGUGCUAAUACCGCAUAACAGUUUAUGCCGCAUGGCAUAAGAGUGAAGGGCGCUUUCGGGUGUCGCUGAUGGAUGGACCCGCGGUGCAUUAGCUAGUUGGUGAGGUAACGGCUCACCAAGGCCACGAUGCAUAGCCGACCUGAGAGGGUGAUCGGCCACACUGGGACUGAGACACGGCCCAGACUCCUACGGGAGGCAGCAGUAGGGAAUCUUCGGCAAUGGACGAAAGUCUGACCGAGCAACGCCGCGUGAGUGAAGAAGGUUUUUCGGAUUCGUAAAACUUC